AUUGAACGCUGGCGGCAGGCCUAACACAUGCAAGUCGAACGGUAACAUGAAGAAUCUUGCUUCUUUGCUGACGAGUGGCGGGGGGGGGAGUAAUGUGUUGGAAAUUGCCUGAUGGAGGGUGAUAUCUACUCGAAACGGUAGCUAAUACCGCAUAACGUCGCAAUACCAAAGAGGGGGACCUUCGGGCCUCUUUCCAUCGGGUGAGCCCAGAUGGGAGUAGCUAGCAGGUGGGGUAACGGCUCACCUAGGCGACGAUCCCUAGCUGGUCUGAGAGGAUGACCAGCCACACUGGAACUGAGACACGGUCCAGACUCCUACGGGAGGCAGCAGUGGGGAAUAUUGCACAAUGGGCGCAAGCCUGAUGCAGCCAUGCCGCGUGUAUGAAGAAGGCCUUCGGGUUGUAAAGUACUUUCAGCGGGGAGGAAGGGAGUAAAGUUAAUACCUGUGCUCAUUGACGUUACCCGCAGAAGAAGCACCGGCUAACUCCGUG
rnacentral:rRNA from 1 species